rnacentral:RNase_P_RNA from 1 species
GGAGUAAGUCAGAUAAUCGCGUUAUUACGAGGAAAGUCCGUGCACUAUAGAGCAGGAUGCUGGAUAACGUCCAGUGGGGGUGACCCUAAGGCUAGUGCAACAGAGAUAUACCGCCAUAUUUAUAUGGUAAGGCUGGAAAGGUGAGGUAAGAGCUCACCAGCAUAUAGGUGACUAUAUGGCUAUGUAAACCCCAUCCAGUGCAAGAUCAAAUAGGAUUAUAAAAAACGGCUGCUCGUCGUUUCCAGAAUGGUAGAUUGCUUGAAUUUAUAGGUAACUAUAAAUCUAGAUAGAUGAUUAUCUGAUACAGAACACGGCUUAUAGACUUGCUCCAUAC